CAUCUUUAGGCACAAACCCCCUGACCUUUACUCUCGGGCCCACUGGCAACUGGCCCCUUCACAGUCUCCCACAGGGGCUCAACUUAGGCUCACAGCUCCAGUUCAGAAAAAGAGAAGAGCUUUUGUGAGGGGACAGAGGUCUCCAGUGCCAUGGCUCCUCUUUGUCCUGAUAAGGCUUCCACUGGGCCCAGGCAGCUCUGGGCUGGAGUCACCUAUGAGCACUGAGGCUACAGGAUAUCAGGACCACUGGUUGAUGGAGCCAUUCGACUUCAUGAGGCUUUGCAGGGGCUGCUGUCCAGUGGUGAUGGUGUGACAAUGAAAGAAGUUUGGAAUCUGACUAAAGAAACAUUCCUCCACGGGGCUGGUG